GCCGGUUUAGCUCAGUUGGUAGAGCACCUCACUUGUAAUGAGGGGGUCGUUGGUUCAAAUCCGACAACCGGCACCA
rnacentral:tRNA from 1 species